UCGGAAUCACUGGGCGUAAAGCGCACGUAGGCGGAUUGCUAAGUCAGGGGGGAAAUCCUGGAGCUCAACUCCAGAACUGCCUUUGAUACUGGCGAUCUCGAGUCCGGGAGAGGUGAGUGGAACUGCGAGUGUAGAGGUGAAAUUCGUAGAUAUUCGCAAGAACACCAGUGGCGAAGGCGGCUCACUGGCCCGGUACUGACGCUGAGGUGCGAAAGCGUGGGGAGCAAACAGG
rnacentral:rRNA from 1 species